UUAGAGUUGGAUCUGGCUCAGAACGAACGCUGGCGGCAUGCCUAAUACAUGCAAGUCGAACGAGAUCUUCGGAUCUAGUGGCGCACGGGUGCGUAACGCGUGGGAAUCUGCCCUUGGGUUCGGAAUAACUUCUGGAAACGGAAGCUAAUACCGGAUGAUGACGUAAGUCCAAAGAUUUAUCGCCCAAGGAUGAGCCCGCGUAGGAUUAGCUAGUUGGUGGGGUAAAGGCCCACCAAGGCGACGAUCCUUAGCUGGUCUGAGAGGAUGAUCAGCCACACUGGGACUGAGACACGGCCCAGACUCCUACGGGAGGCAGCAGUAGGGAAUAUUGGACAAUGGGGGAAACCCUGAUCCAGCAAUGCCGCGUGAGUGAUGAAGGCCUUAGGGUUGUAAAGCUCUUUUACCCGGGAUGAUAAUGACAGUACCGGGAGAAUAAGCUCCGGCUAACUCCGUGCCAGCAGCCGCGGUAAUACGGAGGGAGCUAGCGUUGUUCGGAAUUACUGGGCGUAAAGCGCACGUAGGCGGCUAUUCAAGUCAGAGGUGAAAGCCCGGGGCUCAACCCCGGAACUGCCUUUGAAACUAGAUAGCUUGAAUCCAGGAGAGGUGAGUGGAAUUCCGAGUGUAGAGGUGAAAUUCGUAGAUAUUCGGAAGAACACCAGUGGCGAAGGCGGCUCACUGGACUGUAUGACGCGAGUGAAGAGUGCCAAA
rnacentral:rRNA from 1 species